CCUACGGGAGGCAGCAGUGAGGAAUAUUGGUCAAUGGCCGCAGGGCUGAACCAGCCAAGUCGCGUGAGGGAUGACGGUCCUAUGGAUUGUAAACCUCUUUUGUCAGGGAGCAAAGGGCGCCACGUGUGGCGCUUUGCGAGUACCUGAAGACAAAGCAUCGGCUAACUCCGUGCCAGCAGCCGCGGUAAUACGGAGGAUGCGAGCGUUAUCCGGAUUUAUUGGGGUUAAAGGGUGCGCAGGCGGAAUGUCAAGUCAGCGGUAAAAUUUCGGGGCUCAACCCCGUCGUGCCGUUGAAACUGGCGUUCUUGAGUGAGCGAGAAGUAUGCGGAAUGCGUGGUGUAGCGGUGAAAUGCAUAGAUAUCACGCAGAACUCCGAUUGCGAAGGCAGCAUACCGGCGCUCAACUGACGCUCAUGCACGAAAGCGUGGGUAUCGAACAGGAUUAGAUACCCCGGUAGUC
rnacentral:rRNA from 1 species